CCGAGCCGACCCAUUGACACCCCUACCUGGACUUACUUUUAGUUGUGUUGUUGAUGGGGGAUUAUGGGGAAAAAUAUUAAAAAGUUCCAAACUUUUUAUAUUUGUACUAAUUUAAUCUUAAACUUUUUUACUUGGGUCAAUUCAGUCAUUUUCGGCUAAGUUUAAUCGGAUUUUGCUGGUCGGCGCUAGUCGGCCGACGUGACAUGAUCGGCAUUGACGUAGACAACUUUUAAUAGUAUUUUAAUAUUUUUGAAUUUUAUACUUUUUUUUUUCUUUUUUCCUUCUUCUCCUCCUUCCUCAAACUGGUCGCUAGACCUCGGUGACCGAUCAAAGGCGAUGGACGGCGAGAUCGAGAUGGACCUCAUCAACUAUUGGCAAGCCUUGAUCCCUCACCAAUGGCAGUGAUGGCGGCCUCGCCCUCGCCGAAGGUCAAGCCUUGCCACCCAACACAAGGCUGCAUCACUGGCGAGGCUGUCAGUGCUGAUCGUGUCAGCCAACCAAUUCAAGUGUGGAGACAACUCCCUUUUUCAGGUGUUAAUAAUACUCCAUAAAGGUGCUUUCAAGAUAGAUUAUUCCUCGAGCAAUGGCCAUAUAUCAAACCCCGACGAUCAAUUUUUCUAACAAGAGAUGACGUUGUCGAACUUGAAGAUUUAGAGGGUUUCCUGGAAUGUCGAUCGCUUUUACCCUGUUCGAGCGAAGUAUCUAACUGCCCAUCACUACUCAUCAUGAGAAUUUGAUGGUGUGAAUGGUGGUUUCAUUAGUCAUGUUUCUACCUUUAUCAGUGCCUUUUCUUCGUUCUUUCCAAAUUCUUUAAUUCUUUUUACCAGCGCUUCAGAUGUUUGAUAUAUACGGUAAUAUAUGGGAAGUGCAGAUUGUAAUUAAUUGGUGGGGGUAACUAGCUCUAAUGUGAAGGGGAUGUAAAAUUAUUUCAUCAAUUUUAUUUUUCUGA